UUUUAUGGAGAGUUUGAUCCUGGCUCAGGAUGAACGCUGGCGGCGUGCCUAAUACAUGCAAGUCGAGCGAACGGACGAGAAGCUUGCUUCUCUGAUGUUAGCGGCGGACGGGUGAGUAACACGUGGAUAACCUACCUAUAAGACUGGGAUAACUUCGGGAAACCGGAGCUAAUACCGGAUAAUAUUUUGAACCGCAUGGUUCAAAAGUGAAAGACGGUCUUGCUGUCACUUAUAGAUGGAUCCGCGCUGCAUUAGCUAGUUGGUAAGGUAACGGCUUACCAAGGCAACGAUGCAUAGCCGACCUGAGAGGGUGAUCGGCCACACUGGAACUGAGACACGGUCCAGACUCCUACGGGAGGCAGCAGUAGGGAAUCUUCCGCAAUGGGCGAAAGCCUGACGGAGCAACGCCGCGUGAGUGAUGAAGGUCUUCGGAUCGUAAAACUCUGUUAUUAGGGAAGAACAUAUGUGUAAGUAACUGUGCACAUCUUGACGGUACCUAAUC
rnacentral:rRNA from 1 species